ACUGAGAUGCGGCCAGGACUCUAACGGGAGNCAACAGUGGGGAANAGNGCACAAGGAGCGCAAGCGUGAUGGAGGACGCCGCGUGAGGAGGGGAGGCGUUCGGGUNGAAAACCUCUUAAAUCGGGGAGCAAGCGAGAGUGAGUUAACCCGUNGAAUAAGCACCGGCNAACUACGUGCCAGCAGCCGCGGUAAUACGUAGGGCGCAAGCGUUAUCCGGAAUUAUUGGGCGUAAAGGGCUCGUAGNCGGUUCGUCGCGUCCGGUGUGAAAGUCCAUCGCUNAACGGUGGAUCCGCGCCGGGUACGGGCGGGCUGGAGUGCGGUAGGGGAGACUGGAAUUCCCGGUGUAACGGUGGAAUGUGUAGAAAUCGGGAAGAACACCAAUGGCGAAGGCAGGUCUCUGGGCCGUUACUGACGCUGAGGAGCGAAAGCGUGGGGAGCGAACAGGAUUAGAUACCCUGGUAGUCCACGCCGUAAACGGUGGAUGCUGGAUGUGGGGCCCGUUCCACGGGUUCCGUGUCGGAGCUAACGCGUUAAGCAUCCCGCCUGGGGAGUACGGCCGCAAGGCUAAAACUCAAAGAAAUUGACGGGGGCCCGCACAAGCGGCGGAGCAUGCGGAUUAAUUCGAUGCAACGCGAAGAACCUUACCUGGGCUUGACAUGUUCCCGACCGCUCCAGAGAUGGGCUUCCCUUCGGGCGGGGUUCACAGGUGGUGCAUGGUCGUCGUCAGCUCGUGUCGUGAGAUGUUGGGUUAAGUCCCGCAACGAGCGCAACCCUCGCCCCGUGUUGCCAGCGGAUUAUGCCGGGAACUCACGGGGGACCGCCGGGGUUAACUCGGAGGAAGGUGGGGAUGACGUCAGAUCAUCAUGCCCCUUACGUCCAGGGCUUCACGCA
rnacentral:rRNA from 1 species